AUGUUAUUCGGUGUAGCUUCCGCACCUGCUAUCUGGCAGAGAACCAUUGACCAAAUACUUCAAGGGUUGACAGGAGUACAAUGCAUAUUAGAUGAUAUGGUUAUUACCGGUAGAAAUGACCGAGAACAUUUAGUGAACCUCGAGAAAGUUAUGAAGCGAUUAGAGAUGUACAACCUUUCAGUUAAUAAGGAAAAGUGCAAGUUUUUCAAAGAUGAAAUCGAGUUUUGUGGACAUAAAAUAGAUAAGCAUGAAUUACACAAAACAGAGGAUAAAAUCAAAGCGAUUUUGGACACACCAGAACCACAAAAUGUUACCCAGGUACGUUCAAUUCUUGGAUUAAUGAAUUACUACCAUAAAUUCCUACCAAAUAUCUCAUCAGUUGUGCGUCCAUUACACAGACUGUUAGAAAAAGAUGCCAAAUGGGAUUGGAAUGAAGAAUGUAAGGUAUCUAUCAUUCAAGAGGGCCAAAGAUUUGGUAACAUCUGAGCAGGUUCUAUGUCAUUAUGACCCAGAACUACCUAUUCGAUUAGCUUGUGACGCUUCUCCAUUUGGAUUAGGGGUAGUUUUGUCACAUAAAAUGCAAGAUGGAACGGAGCGCCCUAUUGCAUUUGCGUCAAGGUCACUUAAUAAAGCCGAAAGAAAUUACAGUCAAAUCGACAAAGAAGCUCUUGGUAUAAUUUUCGGCGUUAAAAAGUUUCAUACGUACUUGUAUGGUCGUAAAUUUACACUGAUUACUGACCAUAUGCCGCUUGUGUCAAUAUUCAAUCCGAAAAAGGGAAUUUCUACCACUUCAGCAGCACGUUUACAGAGAUAUGCGUUAUUUUUAAGUGGAUAUACAUAUGACAUCGAGUACAAAAACACUAACAAGCACACGAACGCAGAUGCGCUUUCGAGAAUACCACAGGAAUCUACAGAAGCAGAUGGUGAGGAAUUUGAUGCAGUUGAUGUUUUCAUGUUAAAGCAGCUAGAACAUUUAAGCUUAACAAACAACAACAUUAGACGAGAAACUGCGCGUGACAAGAUCUUAUCAAGAGUCUAUGAAUUAGUACAAAAAGGUUGGACCGUCAAUGAUGAUAUCGAUUUGAAACCGUAUUUCAACCGGAAAAACGAACUGUCAAUCAGUCAAGGUUGUUUGCAGUGGGGAAUACGUACUAUUGUUCCGACAAAAUUUAGACAGCAAACUUUAGAACUGUUACAUUCUGCGCACCCAGGAGUAGUGAAAAUGAAAUUAUUGGCAAGGAGCUACGUAUGGUGGCCACGUAUUGAUUCUGAGAUAGAAUCACUAGCAAAAAGUUGUUCCGGAUGUCAAAAGCACCAUCGUAACCCGAAACAGUCACCACUUCAUCCAUGGGAGUGGCCGUCUAGUCCGUGGAAACGAAUUCAUAUUGACUUUGCUGGACCAUUUAUUGAUCACAUGUUCUUGAUUGUCAUUGAUGCUCAUUCUAAAUGGCCUGAAGUUAUACCGAUGAAAAGUACCACUUCAACACAGACAAUUAGAGUUUUAAGGACUAUAUUUGCAAGAGCAGGAUUGCCAGAGCAAAUAGUCAGUGAUAACGGACCACAAUUCGUAUCAGCAGAAUUUCAAACAUUUACUAAAAUGAAUGGAAUAACGCAUAUAAAGAGCGCACCAUACCAUCCGGCAACAAACGGACUCGCAGAACGUUUUGUUCAGACUUUCAAACAGAGCUUGAAGGCAAUGCGAGGAGAAAAUGCAGAUUUGAAUAAGAAAUUAGCAAAUUUUCUGUUGGCAUAUCGCAAUACUCCCCAUACUACAACGAAUGAAACACCAGCUAAGUUAUUUAUGGGUAGAAAUUUACGUAACAGACUGGACUUAAUUAAACCAGAUAUCAAUAGACAAGUGCAAGACAAGCAGAUGAAAAUUGCAAAUAAACCAACAAAAGAGACUUUGCGACAAUUUACCGAGGGAGAAACAAUAGCUGUACGCGACUACCGUGGACCAAAUAAAUGGACAAGUGGACUUAUAACCAAACGUGAAGGACCGUUAAAUUACCAGGUAGAAGUUUCGCCCAAUAGUAUCUGGAAACGUCAUGCAGACCAGAUACGAAACUCAGACUUCAACGAUAAACAGGGAGAAGAAAUUAAAUUGUUCCAAAGAUACAUAAAAUUCGGCAAGACUCAUUAG
rnacentral:sRNA from 1 species